rnacentral:rRNA from 1 species
AAUAGAUACCCGGGUAGUCCACGCCGUAAACGAUGAAUGCUAGGUGUUAGGGGUUUCGAUACCCUUGGUGCCGAAGUUAACACAUUAAGCAUUCCGCCUGGGGAGUACGGUCGCAAGACUGAAACUCAAAGGAAUUGACGGGGACCCGCACAAGCAGUGGAGUAUGUGGUUUAAUUCGAAGCAACGCGAAGAACCUUACCAGGUCUUGACAUCCCCCUGACCGGUACAGAGAUGUACCUUUCCUUCGGGACAGAGGAGACAGGUGGUGCAUGGUUGUCGUCAGCUCGUGUCGUGAGAUGUUGGGUUAAGUCCCGCAACGAGCGCAACCCUUGACUUUAGUUGCCAGCAGGUCAAGCUGGGCACUCUAGAGUGACUGCCGGUGACAAACCGGAGGAAGGUGGGGAUGACGUCAAAUCAUCAUGCCCCUUAUGACCUGGGCUACACACGUACUACAAUGGCUGGUACAACGGGAAGCGAAGGAGCGAUCCGGAGCGAAUCCUAAAAACGCCAGUCUCAGUUCGGAUUGCAGG